rnacentral:lncRNA from 1 species
AGUCCUUCGCCGUCCCUCGCCGUCCUUCGCCAUCGCACGCCACCGCACCCCAUCUCUCGAAAUCUGCAGACAUCUUGAUUUUUCCCACGCUGUCUGUCAGGUCUCCGCCGCCACUCGACGCCAGGGCGCCGGGCCUUGUGGGCUGUGCUGCACCUCGGACGGCUUCGCACCAGCCAGCGCCCUCUCUCUCCUGCAGCACUCUGAUCUGCACCCCCUGAGGGGCUUCCACUGUCCGCGGGGUGAGAAUGCCCCUGGGAGUGUCACAUGACUGCCGCCCCAUGUGUGUGAGAGGCGUCCUCUGGGAGAGCAUGGAUCCUGAGGUCCCAGGAUUGUCAGCUGACCUCUGUCCUGUGUGCCCAGUGGCCCCAGGUGACGUGUCUUCAAGAAGAGGCUGAGCUGCGGUGCUUGUAAGGGUCUCAUUCUGUCACCCAGGCUGGAGUGCAGUGGUGCAAUGAUGGCUCACUGCAGCCUCGACCUGGGCUCAAGUGAUCCUCCACCUCAGCUUCCUGAGUAGCUGGGACCACAGUCACCGUUUUUAGUGUGUGUGAGGAGCAGCUGAAACCUGCUUCACAGAAAUCCCUUAUGUUGUGCGUGAGCCCUCUAGACUUACUCAUCCUGUAUAUCUGCUACUUGGUGUCCUUUGGCCUACAUCUCCCUAUUUCCUUCAGCUCCUGCCCAUGAGUCAUGUGCUGUUCCUGGGGCUUGGAUGAUGUAGGGGAAGCAAGGUGAAAGUGGUAUCCCGUGGUUCCACGUUCUGUCCUGCUGUGGGGCUGUCCCUCACAUGCUUUCAGUGGCUGUUGCAGAGGAAGAGCCUCCGGAAAUCUGCGUGGGUAAAGUCUCAGCCUUAGAUCCAAGGACAGUCCAAGGAAGUCCUAAGACCAUGGAGUUGGUGAUCUGGGAUCUGGGUUUGCUGAUAUUUCUCACCGUGAAUCUCUUGGUGGUGUUUGUGGGCACGAGAGGGGCAGAGAAUGGAGAGUGAGGCUACCACAUGAAGCGUCACCAGAGCUGCUCCCUGCUGCCUGCUCAGAGCACCCCGGAUCCACUGUUCAAUCUGCACAAGAUUCGGGGUCCAGACAUGGGAGACUUCAGCUGCCUCAGAGGACCGUGGACAGGGAAGGCCAGCCUCGCAUCCCUCUGUCCAUGCCUGGAAUGACUUUAAUAACCAAGAGUUUUAUUUUUGAAUUUGUAGCUGUCGUUCACUUUUUACCCACCCAUUCAAUAAACCUUACAGAAUUGCUCCA